rnacentral:tRNA from 1 species
UCCUGGAUGGCUCAGUUGGUAGAGCAUGCAACUCUGGAUCUCAGGGUCAUGAGUUCAAGCCUCACUUUGGGCA